rnacentral:rRNA from 1 species
GAUGAACGCUGGCGGCGUGCUUAACACAUGCAAGUCGAACGGAAAGGCCCAGCCUUGCUUGGGUACUCGAGUGGCGAACGGGUGAGUAACACGUGGGUGACCUGCCCCGCACUUCGGGAUAACCUUGGGAAACUGGGUCUAAUACCGGAUAGGAGAGUGUGUUGCAUGCUAUGGUUGAGAGAGUUUCCGGGGUGGGAUGAGCUCGCGGGCUAUCAGCGUGUUGGUGGGGGAAUGGCCUAACAAGGCGUUGUCGGGUAGGCGGGCUGGGAGGGUGUACGGGCACAAUGGGGCUUGGAUUCGGCCCAGAAUUCCACGGGGGGCAACAGGUGGGAAAAUUGCACAAAUGGGGGAAGCCUGAUUGAAGGACGCCCGGGGGCGGAAGACCGGCUUCGGGUUGGAAAACCGCUUCGGUCGGGACGGAGCGUUAUGUGACGGUAACUAGAGAAGAAGCACCGGCUAACUACGUG